GCUGUAGCAGCUGACGACGGCAGUGCCACGCGCAGCAGCACCGCUCUCUUCCUUCUUCCCACCUGAAGAAGAAGAGGAGAGGAAGUCGAGAAAAGAGGGAGCGGACGCGCGCGCGCGCGCGGCGUUGCUGCUGGGCUCACUCUCCGCCUUUCCUCUUGCUUCCUCCUCUGACUUUCGCUUCCCCACCCCCCAAUUUUUAUUGUCCGCCCGGGAGGCGCCGCCGCGGGAUGCAGCCGGCGUCGGCGACAUCGUGGUGGUGCUGCCGGUGCUGCUCUCAAAGUGCUCCGCGCUGAAGUCGGGUACGCAUCGCUCCCUUCUCCUCUCCGGUCCGCGCACCUCUUCGGCGUGCGGCGCGCGUUGUUUUGGGACAACGCUUCAGCCCCCGUGGUUCGCCCCGCUUGCGGCGUGCGCGUAACGCACCUUCAGCGGGUUCGCCCGGUGGCCCCCGGCGAGUCGUGACAGUUCUCGUGCUGCGAACGAGAGCGGUGACAGCGGUCCUCGCGCAGUUCGGUUAGGUAGUGCGAUUGGCUCGAACAACACGUUGGCGACAACACGAGUGUCGGUGCGCAAACUGGUCCACGGCGUUUCUGGAAGGUAGGGGGACUGCGCCGAAUACGAACUUCGUGCGAAACUUUGGAAUCGCCGUUCGCUGAGUUGUCAUUAAGGCAAGUACAGUAACUUCUUGCCUGUGCUUUACAGAGACGUGACGAUACAUUGCAGUCUGAUAGGUGAGCAAAAGUGGCAAUUGCAACUGGACAACCAAACUCUGCUUCAACCGAGACGCUACGGAAACGAAAGUUGAAUCCUUUUCAUCCGGAAAUCUUGCGUGCCUUCUGAAGUGUCAAGAACGACGCCGAUUUUGCUCCUUUGAACGGGAACCUCUCCGUGCCUAAAGUUGUGUGGCCAGGAAACGGAACCUCUAGUUCUUCGUUAUCCGCGUCGCUCUCUACGGGACGUCCGACACGGAUCGACACAGCGGGAGGACGCCCUCGCUGAGCAUCUAAAAGCCCUGGGAUAGCUCGAGUUGUUUUGGCGAGAGAUACAUCACGAACCUGGAGUUGGCUGUUUCGGCCGAAAUCAACCAGUCGUCAUGAUGCCAAAGUUAAAAGUGGCUGCCAUCCUACUCUUAUGGACUUUCACAGGACGCUGCAUUGCAGGUCCGCUGGGAGACGCCACUGCGAGUCGACGCUACGCACCUCGUUCGAACGCCGGAGGUGACGUAGAAUAUAGCCGCACACAACGAUCCGGAGCGCUGGACGAGAAGCCUCACGUGGUGC
rnacentral:lncRNA from 1 species